ACAAAAUGGAAGUAUGGCAGGGUCUGGAAGACAAAUGAGAAGUGGGGAGAGACGAUAUAGAAGCAUCUCCAGGCCUCACAAAAGCACAAAUGGAGAACCAACUCUCAGAAAUAACCCAGAGGAAACCCAAUGCCUCACGUGUUAAAAAUGACCAAUGCUCAGACUUUAAUCAAUCUCAAUCUAGAAACCUGGCAACUGAUUAAACUUUGUUGACUCAGAAAACUAAAGCCUUCAGAAUAUCUGAAGACUUGAGUCACCAACUGCCCCAGUUCACUUUCCAGAAAUUCAGACUCUCCAGAUCUCGGAUUCCCCACUCACCUGUGUACCACCAGGGGUUCUUUGAUUGGGGACGGAUGGUGGAAAAUCAAGAACUACGGGAAGACGAUGGUCCUCACGGCUCCUCCACUGCGGGCUGCUUUCCAGUUGGUGCAACAGGAGAUCUGGGGCCUGUGUUUGCUUUUCUUGGCAUUCGCAGAGGUGGUGUCUGUAGCUGAAGACACUGGGGCUGUUGCCAGAAGCCCUGCUGGAGCUAAGACUGUGUGAUUCCAGGUUCCAAGAUCUCAUCUGCUCACAGCGAUGGGGAACAUUUUGAUCUUGGCAAACGCUCUCAUGCCAGAACUCCAUGUCCACCGACUCUUCUCCCUACUUCUCUGACCCCAAGCAGACCCGCGGAGUGACCUCUGGACACACACAGCUUGGCAGCACCACCGUCUCUGAAAUUCCCAUAUCUCCCCAGGGAGCUUACCACAGUGGACACAAACAUGAUGACAAACUGCUAGUGACUUGGCAGCACAUUAACCAGAGGUCCUUCCCUGGGAGCUGCCCCCACAGACGCCCCCAAGGUGGAUGCCUGCCUCAGACACUGAAUGCUUCUGCCAUGCAAAUUAGCACAGCCUGCACAAAAUCAGAAAAAUAAAUGCAUCCCUUUAAAUGUGUGAUACAAUCCCCUUCUGUAGGCCUAUUCCUGGUCAGUAACAUUAGGAUGUGUAUUCCCUACCCAUGCCUGGGCCAGAGCACCGCUGUCAUUCUGACCCCUCCAGAAGGAACUCGGCAUGUGGUCAGUCUCUAAAGUCUUCCACACUCAGGCUCCCCGUUUCUCACCCCAGCCUCUGCCUCCCAUGUGCCUGAGCCUCCAGUCCACCUCCUGACUGUUACCCUUCUCCCACACCCCACGGGAG
ensembl:lncRNA